CUUCCGCCUGAGUAACUGGAUAUGAAAAAGAACUUACAUCAUGGAAUAAGGCAUAAUUCCUUUGUAAAGGGUUGGAAAAGUUAUUUUUCAAAACAACCUAUUAGUUGCUGAAACAUUCUGUAGAGAAGUUACUAAGAAUGACUUCAAAAAUACAAUAGUAACUGGGUAAAGGUUCCUUAACUUUGGGAUAGUCCCUCAGAUAUAAAAAUUACUUGAUGAAUAAAAAACACUACAUUAUAUUUCUAGGAGGAUAAAAAUAAACUCUCAAGUUCCACCAGUAUUGACAUUUCAUUUGCAAUUAUCUACUGAAUUCCAUUCCAUUUGAGAUACAUUAAUGAAAUAUGUAGAUGUGAUGAGAUGAAAUAAUGCAAAUUACAAAAGAAUUACGUUAAGCUUCAAUAAACUUGUGAAAAAAUCAUAACAAAGAAUUUGUGUAUACAUUUGAAAAGGAGAGAGAGAGAGAGAGAGAGAGAGAGAGAGAGAGAGAGAGAGAGAGAGAGAGAGAUUGUAUUCCCACGACAAGAGAAGACAGACAUUCUAAGAUUAUGUCAUAAAAAAAUCGAAAUAGAGAGGAAAGACCAUCAGUCAAUUCACCUUUCCCUAAUAUCUCCUCAUUUUAUAGAUUUGCAUCUCUAAUUAAACCUUCAACUGUUCCCUAAUAGAUAAAAAAACAAUGUUUUUUUUAAUAGAAGUUACUACAACUGAAGGUUAUGGAAUGACCCUCACGAUGACAAAGCAUUGUUUUGACUCUCGUUGGCACUGAAAGAAGGCCCAGUUUUUGCUUACUCGAUGCUGGUAUAUAAGACGUGACUGCUAAGGCAGAACAUUCACUCACUCAAGUGCCUCUGUCGACUGAACACUCCUCAACCUCAGCUCUUCAAUAUGAAGUUGAUUGGCUCAAUGCUGUUGCUUCUGGUGGCUCUGUUUGCCAUCUUGGGAUCCUCUGAGGCCAUGCCGGAGCCUGAAGCCGACCCUGGCUUCCUGGGUGGUGGAUACUAUAGGCCUUAUUACAGACCCAUCAUCAGCUAUGGCUAUGGAGGCUAUGGUGGUUACGGAGGCUAUGGAUGGUAAAUGUUUCUCUUAAUGACGACGUCGAGAAAGAUUCUUCGGAUUCUUCAAAUGUUCCUGAAGCUACUUUGUAAUUAGGUUUCACAAUAAAUUAAAGAUAAAA